rnacentral:rRNA from 1 species
AUGAACGCUAGCUACAGGCUUAACACAUGCAAGUUGAGGGGCAGCAUGACGGAAGCUUGCUUCCGUUGAUGGCGACCGGCGCACGGGUGAGUAACGCGUAUCCAACCUGCCCUUGUCCAUCGGAUAACCCGUCGAAAGGCGGCCUAACACGAUAUGGUGUUCCACGAAGGCAUCUGAACGGAACUAAAUGCGAAGGAGAAGGAUGGGGAUGCGUCUGAUUAGCUUGUUGGCGGGGUAACGGCCCACCAAGGCGACGAUCAGUAGGGGUUCUGAGAGGAAGGUCCCCCACAUUGGAACUGAGACACGGUCCAAACUCCUACGGGAGGCAGCAGUGAGGAAUAUUGGUCAAUGGGCGCGAGCCUGAACCAGCCAAGUAGCGUGCAGGAAGACGGCCCUAUGGGUUGUAAACUGCUUUUAUGCGGGGAUAAAGUGUGGGACGUGUCCCAUAUUGCAGGUACCGCAUGAAUAAGGACCGGCUAAUUCCGUGCCAGCAGCCGCGGUAAUACGGAAGGUCCGGGCGUUAUCCGGAUUUAUUGGGUUUAAAGGGAGCGUAGGCCGUCUGUUAAGCGUGUUGUGAAAUGUCGUGGCUCAACCGGGGCACUGCAGCGCGAACUGGCAGACUUGAGUGCACGGUAGGAAGGCGGAAUUCGUCGUGUAGCGGUGAAAUGCUUAGAUAUGACGAAGAACUCCGAUUGCGAAGGCAGCUUUCCGUAGUGUAACUGACGCUGAAGCUCGAAAGCGUGGGUAUCGAACAGGAUUAGAUACCCUGGUAGUCCACGCGGUAAACGAUGGAUGCUCGCUGUUUGCGUCUGACGUAAGCGGCCAAGCGAAAGCGUUAAGCAUCCCACCUGGGGAGUACGCCGGCAACGGUGCAACUCAAAUGAAUUGACGG